rnacentral:tRNA from 1 species
GGGCUGGGGCUCAGUGGUAGAGCACUCGCCUAGCAUGUGCAAGGAGCUGGGUUCAAGCCUCAGCACCACA